rnacentral:rRNA from 1 species
GACAGAGGGUGCAAACGUUGUUCGGAAUUACUGGGCGUAAAGCGCGUGUAGGCUGCUCCGCAAGUCGGAUGUGAAAGCCCUGGGCUCAACCUAGGAAGUGCAUUCGAAACUUCGGAGCUGGAGUCCUGGAGAGGAAGGCGGAAUUCUCGGCGUAGAGGUGAAAUUCGUAGAUAUCGAGAGGAACACCGGUGGCGAAGGCGGCCUUCUGGACAGUGACUGACGCUGAGACGCGAAAGCGUGGGGAGCAAACAGG